rnacentral:rRNA from 1 species
UACGGGGGGGGUAAGCGUUGUUCGGAAUUAUUGGGCGUAAAGGGCUCGUAGGCGGCCAAGUAAGUCGGACGUGAAAUCCCUCAGCUUAACUGGGGAACUGCGUCCGAUACUGGAUGGCUUGGAUUUGGGAGAGGGAUGCGGAAUUCCAGGUGUAGCGGUGAAAUGCGUAGAUAUCUGGAGGAACACCGGUGGCGAAGGCGGCAUCCUGGACCAAUAUUGACGCUGAGGAGCGAAAGCUAGGGGAGCAAACGGG